rnacentral:rRNA from 1 species
CAGCAGCCACGGUAAUACGAAGGGUGCAAGCGUUAAUCGGAAUUACUGGGCGUAAAGCGUGCGUAGGCGGUUUGUUAAGUCUGUUGUGAAAUCCCCGGGCUCAACCUGGGAAUGGCAAUGGAUACUGGCAAGCUAGAGUGUGUCAGAGGAUGGUGGAAUUCCCGGUGUAGCGGUGAAAUGCGUAGAGAUCGGGAGGAACAUCAGUGGCGAAGGCGGCCCCCUGGGCCAACACUGACGCUCAUGCACGAAAGCGUGGGGAGCAAACAGGAUUAGAUACCCGAGUAGUCCCUGUCUCUUAUAC